ACUCAAAUGAAUAGACGGGGACCUGCACAAGCAGAGGAGCACGUGGUUUAAUUCGAUGGUAAUCGAAGAACCUUACCAGGGUUUGACAUAUACCUGCAAGCUUUAGGAAACUAGAGCCGCCUUCGAGGGUGGUAUACAGGUGCUGCAUGGCCGUCGUCAGCUCGUGUCGUGAGAUGUAGGGUUAAGUCCCGAAACGAGCGCAACCCCUAUCCCAUGUUACAAGUGUCUUGGGAAACUGCCUCGGUAAAACGGGGAGGAAGGUGGGGAUGACGUCUGGUCCGCAUGGCCCUUAUGUCCUGGGCGACACACGCGCUACAAUGGAUGGUACAACGAGCAGCCAAACCGUAAGGUGGAGCUAAUCUUAAAAAACCAUUCUCAGUUCGGAUUGAGGUCUGAAACUCGACCUCAUGAAGUCGGAUUUGCUAGUAAUCGUAGAUCAGCCAUGCUACGGUGAAUACGUUCUCGGGUCUUGCACACACCGCCCGU
rnacentral:rRNA from 1 species